rnacentral:lncRNA from 1 species
ACAGUAUACAGAUUAACUUUUACUCUUAGUUACAAACUCUCAUAUAUGUUUACAUUCUAUAUAAAAUCAAAUAUAAAUAAUAAAAACAGCUUAAAAAUGAACCAAAAAAAUCAAAAUAAAGCUUUAUUACAAGCAAACUACUUUCAGCCAUGUAAGCCUAUGUGGUGGUUACUUGAGAACUCUUUCUUGAGGAGAAGGGUUUCAACCUUCACCCACAACAUGGAAGAAUACAAGAAUAGGGGUCCAAGUAGUUCAGGGCCAAAGAAAAAAGUACCAGUUCUUCUUUGCUCCUAGUCUGAGGAAGUCACAAUAGACGCGGUAAAAAUUAGUAAUGAUUUAAAACCGUAACUAUCUCACCAUCUGCAUCUGUAUGUUAGUUAUAAUGCAAUUUCUAAU